UGGCGGACGGGUGAGUAAAGUAUCGGAACGUACCAUUGAGUGGGGGAUAACGUAGCGAAAGUUACGCUAAUACCGCAUAUACCCCGAGGGGGAAAGCAGGGGAUCGCAAGACCUUGUGCUCUUUGAGCGGCCGAUAUCAGAUUAGCUAGUUGGUGAGGUAAAGGCUCACCAAGGCGACGAUCUGUAGCGGGUCUGAGAGGAUGAUCCGCCACACUGGAACUGAGACACGGUCCAGACUCCUACGGGAGGCAGCAGUGGGGAGUUUUGGACAAUGGGGGCAACCCUGAUCCAGCCAUGCCGCGUGAGUGAAGAAGGCCUUCGGGUUGUAAAGCUCUUUCGGCCGGGAGGAAAUCGCAUAGGUUAAUACCCUGUGUGGAUGACAGUACCGGAAUAAGAAGCACCGGCUAACUACGUGCCAGCAGCCGCGGUAAU
rnacentral:rRNA from 1 species